GAUCCUGGCUCCAUUGAACGCUGGCGGCAUGCUUCCCAAUGCCAGUCGAACGGUAACUGGUCCUUCGGGAUGCUGUUUAGUGGCGGACGGGUGAGUAGCACGUAGGGAUCUGCCUGGUAGUGGGGGACAACCUGGGGAAACCCAGGCUAAUACCGCAUACGCCCUGAGGGGGAAAGAGCGCCUCUGCUUGCAAGCACUCGCUAUUGGAUGAGCCUACGUCGGAUUACCUAGUUGGUAGGGUAAAGGCCUACCAAGGCGACGAUCCGUAGCUGGUCUGAGAGGAUGAUCAGCCACACUGGGACUGAGACACGGUCCACACUCCUACGGGAGGCAGCAGUGGGGAAUAUUGGACAAUGGGGGCAACCCUGAUCCAGCAAUGCCGCGUGGGUGAAGAAGGCCUGCGGGUUGUAAAGCCCUUUCGGUGGCGAACAAGCUCUGGGGUGUGAAUACCCGCUCUGGGGUGACGUUACCCACAGAACACCCACCGGCUAACUCCUUGCCAGCAGCCGCGGUGAUACGGAGGGUGCAAGCGUUAAUCGGAAUUACUGGGUCUAAACGCAUGUAAUGCUGUUUGCCCCGUUUGAUCUGAAACCCUGGGCUCACCCGGUGAAUGCUCUUGAUACUGA
rnacentral:rRNA from 1 species